rnacentral:snRNA from 11 species
AUGCAUCUUCCAACAAAUUCGGCAGCACAUAUACUAAAAUUGGAACGAUACAGAGAAGGUUAGCAUGGCCCCUG